UACAGAGGUCUCAGGCGUCGUUCGGAUUCAUUGGGCGUAAAGGGUGCGUAGGUGGUAAUGCAAGUCUGAUGUGAAAUUUCGAGGCUUAACCUCGAAACUGCAUCGGAUACUGCAUAACUCGAGGACUGUAGAGGAGAGUGGAAUUCACAGUGUAGCAGUGAAAUGCGUAGAUAUUGUGAGGAAGACCAGUUGCGAAAGCGACUCUCUGGGCAGUUCCUGACACUGAGGCACGAAGGCUAGGGGAGCAAACGGG
rnacentral:rRNA from 1 species